rnacentral:rRNA from 1 species
UACGUAGGGGGGCAAGCGUUGUCCGGAUUUAUUGGGCGUAAAGAGCGUGUAGGCGGCUUCACAGGUCCGCUGUGAAAACUCGAGGCUCAACCUCGAGACGUCGGUUGAAACCACCUGGCUAGAGUCCGGAAGAGGAGAGUGGAAUUCCCGGUGUAGCGGUGAAAUGCGCAGAUAUCGGGAAGAACACCCGUGGCGAAGGCGGCUCUCUGGGACGGUACUGACGCUGAGACGCGAAAGCGUGGGGAGCGAACAGG